UAGAUAAUCUCUAUUUCUAAUGUAGGACAAGUUGAAAACUGCGUAGUAGGACAAGUGCUCCGAGCAUUCCUCUUGACUAUUCGGCCUCCAUGAGACGAGCGCUCGACUACCGCUCGAGCGGUGGUCCACCAGAAGAGCCACAAAACCAUUCGCUCGAGUCACACUCGACUCAAUGUAGGGCUCGAGUUGAUCCAUCAGUUACCAGGGGAUUUGGACGAUUUUCUCAUUUAGUUGGUUUCAUCUGCAAUUCAGACCCUUUGACUUUCUAGCAGAGCCACUAGGAGUAUAAAGAUCCAAAAGUCAAUGAACUUUGGAGCUCAGACCAUGUGCCUUUUUUGUUUGUUUUUUUUUUGUUUCUAAGCAAUACAUAAAAGCCUUUUGUUUGAUUGAUUUGAUGAACUUGAAGAGAAUGAUGUUACAAACGAUGUUUACGUGGAGAGAAAA